rnacentral:rRNA from 1 species
CUUGACGACCAUAGAGCGUUGGAACCACCUGAUCCCAUCCCGAACUCAGCAGUGAAACGAUGCAUCGCCGAUGGUAGUGUGGGG